GACGAACGCUGGCGGCGUGCUUAACACAUGCAAGUCGAACGAUGAAGCCGGAGCUUGCUCUGGUGAAUUAGUGGCGAACGGGUGAGUAACACGUGAGUAACCUGCCCUUGACUCUGGGAUAACUGCGGGAAACUGUAGCUAAUACCGGAUACGACCCUCGGAGGCAUCUCCUGGGGGUGGAAAGAAUUUCGGUCAAGGAUGGACUCGCGGCCUAUCAGCUAGUUGGUGAGGUAAAGGCUCACCAAGGCGACGACGGGUAGCCGGCCUGAGAGGGUGACCGGCCACACUGGGACUGAGACACAGCCCAGACUCCUACGGGAGGCAGCAGUGGGGAAUAUUGCACAAUGGGCGCAAGCCUGAUGCAGCAACGCCGCGUGAGGGAUGACGGCCUUCGGGUUGUAAGCCUCUUUUAGCAGGGAAGAAGCGAAAGUGACGGUACCUGCAGAAAAAGCACCGGCUAACUACGUGCCAGCAGCCGCCGUAA
rnacentral:rRNA from 1 species